GAUGAACGCUAGCUACAGGCUUAACACAUGCAAGUCGAGGGGAAACGAUAGAGAAAGCUUGCUUUUUCUAGGCGUCGACCGGCGCACGGGUGAGUAACGCGUAUCCAACCUGCCCACCACUUGGGAAUAACCUUGCGAAAGUAAGACUAAUACCCAAUGAUAUCUCUAGAAGACAUCUGAAGGAGAUUAAAGAUUUAUCGGUGAUGGAUGGGGUUGCGUCUGAUUAGCUUUUUGGCGGGGUAACGGCCCACCAAGGCGACGAGACGUAGGGGUUCUGAGAGGAAGGUCCCCCACAUGGGAACUGAGACACGGUCCAAACUCCUACGGGAGGCAGCAGUGAGGAAUAUUGGUCAAUGGGCGAGAGCCUGAACCAGCCAAGUAGCGUGCAGGAUGACGGCCCUAUGGGUUGUAAACUGCUUUUAUAAGGGAAUAAAGUGAGCCUCGUGAGGCUUUUUGCAUGUACCUUAUGAAUAAGGACCGGCUAAUUCCGUGCCAGCCGCCGCCGUAA
rnacentral:rRNA from 1 species